rnacentral:misc_RNA from 1 species
GACGUAGGGAGCAAGCGUUGUCCGGAAUUACUGGGCGUAAAGAGCUCGUAGGCGGGGGCGUGCGUCUGAGACGAAAUCCUAAGGCUUAACCUUGGGGCUUUCUCAGAUACGGCGCCUCUUGAGGAUGGGAGAGGAGAGUGGAAUUCUCGGUGUAGCGGUGAAAUGCGUAGAUAUCGGGAGGAACACCAGUGGCGAAGGCGACUCUCUGGCCCACUCCUGACGCUGAGGAGCGAAAGCGUGGGGAGCGAACGGG